rnacentral:rRNA from 1 species
CCUACGUGAGGCAGCAGUGAGGAAUAUUGGUCAAUGGGCGCGAGCCUGAACCAGCCAAGUAGCGUGAAGGAUGACUGCCCUACGGGUUGUAAACUUCUUUUAUAAAGGAAUAAAGUGAGGCACGUGUGCCUUUUUGUAUGUACCUUAUGAAUAAGGAUCGGCCAACCCCGUGCCAGCAGCCGCGGUAACUCGGAGGAUCCGAGCGUUAUCCGGAUUUAUUGGGUUUAAAGGGAGCGUAGAUGGGUUGUUAAGUCAGUUGUGAAAGUUUGCGGCUCAACCGUAAAAUUGCAAUUGAUACUGGCAGCCUUGAGUACAGUUGAGGUAGGCGGAAUUCGUGGUGUAGCGGUGAAAUGCUUAGAUAUCACGAAGAACUCCGAUUGCGAAGGCAGCCUACUAAACUGCAACUGACAUUGAUGCUCGAAAGUGUGGGUAUCAAACAGGAUUAGAUACCCCUGUAGUC